rnacentral:rRNA from 1 species
CGUAGGGUGCGAGCGUUGUCCGGAAUUACUGGGCGUAAAGAGCUCGUAGGUGGUUUGUCGCGUCGUCUGUGAAAAGCGGGGCUUAACUCCGUUCGUGCAGGCGAUACGGGCAUAACUGGAGUGCUGUAGGGAGACUGGAAUUCCUGGUGUAGCGGUGAAAUGCGCAGAUAUCAGGAGGAACACCGAUGGCGAAGGCAGGUCUCUGGGCAGUUACUGACGCUGAGGAGCGAAAGCAUGGUAGCGAACAGGAUU